rnacentral:rRNA from 1 species
AACGAACGCUGGCGGCAUGCCUAACACAUGCAAGUCGAACGCCCGUAGCAAUACGGGAGUGGCAGACGGGUGCAUAACACGUGGGAACCUACCCUUGGGUUCGGAAUAACCGCGGGAAACUGCGGCUAAUACCGGAUACGUCCUCUGGGAGAAAGAUUCAUCGCCCUUGGAGGGGCCCGCGUCGGAUUAGCUAGUUGGUGAGGUAACGGCUCACCAAGGCGACGAUCCGUAGCUGAUCUGAGAGGAUGAUCAGCCACACUGGAACUGAGACACGGUCCAGACUCCUACGGGAGGCAGCAGUGGGGAAUAUUGGACAAUGGGCGCAAGCCUGAUCCAGCAAUGCCGCGUGGGUGAUGAAGGCCUUCGGGUUGUAAAGCCCUUUUGGCAGGGACGAUGAUGACGGUACCUGCAGAAUAAGCCCCGGCUAACUUCGUGCCAGCAGCCGCAGUAAAAC